GCCGGAGUGGCGAAACUGGCAGACGCGCGGGACUCAAAAUCCCGUUCGGGCGACCGAGUGCGGGUUCGACCCCCGCCUCCGGCACCA
rnacentral:tRNA from 1 species